rnacentral:rRNA from 1 species
GCCAGACUCCUACGGGAGGCAGCAGUGGGGAAUAUUGGGCAAUGGGCGCAGGCCUGACCCAGCAACGCCGCGUGAAGGAAGAAGGCUUUCGGGUUGUAAACUUCUUUUCUCAGGGACGAAGCAAGUGACGGUACCUGAGGAAUAAGCCCCGGCUAACUACGUGCCAGCAGCCGCGGUAAUACGUAGGGGGCAAGCGUUAUCCGGAUUUACUGGGUGUAAAGGGGGCGCAGACGGCGAUGCAAGCCAGGAGUGAAAGCCCGGGGCCCAACCCCGGGACUGCUCUUGGAACUGCGUGGCUGGAGUGCAGGAGGGGGAGGCGGAAUUCCUGGUGUAGCGGUGAAAUGCGUAGAUAUCAGGAGGAACACCGGUGGCGAAGGCGGCCUGCUGGGCUGCAACUGACGUUGAGGCCCGAAAGCGUGGGGAGCAAACAGGAUUAGAUACCCCGGUAAC